AUUGAACGCUGGCGGCAGGCCUAACACAUGCAAGUCGAACGAGCGGCGGACGGGUGAGUAAUGUCUGGGAAACUGCCUGAUGGAGGGGGAUAACUACUGGAAACGGUCGCUAAUACCGCAUACUAUCGGAUGUGCCCAGAUGGGAUUAGCUAGUAGGUGGGGUAAAGGCUCACCUAGGCGACGAUCCCUAGCUGGUCUGAGAGGAUGAUCAGCCACAAUGGAACUGAGACACGGUCCAGACUCCUACGGGAGGCAGCAGUGGGGAAUAUUGCACAAUGGGCGCAAGCCUGAUGCAGCCAUGCCGCGUGUAUGAAGAAGGCCGUCGGGUUGUAAAGUACUUUCAGCGGGGAGGCGUUACCCGCAGAAGAAGCACCGGCUAACUCCGUGCCAGCAGCCGCGGUAAUUC
rnacentral:rRNA from 1 species